CUGGCAAUAUCACAACAGGUGAAGAGUCUUGGAACCGAUACAUGUAUCUGCUUACAUUUCUUUGUUCAAGGAUACUUACAGUGCUACUGAGUGAUUUGUGUGUGUUUGUGUGUGUAAUGUUUGAGGUCUUCCUUCUUAAAAGUUAGUUUGAAAGCUUAGAAGUUUCGUCGCGAGUGAUGUUGAGGUGUAGAAUUGGAUUGCGGAUUAUACACAGGAGAAGAAGAAGAAUGGUCCAUCCUAUAUUAUUUGCUCUGAGGUUUCUGUGCUCCCAGAUUGUAUGUGCGGCUAUGUUUUGUUUUUCUUCUCUUAACAUUACAAGGGACACUUGAGAGAUUCCCUCCCUUGCAAAUAAACUAAAAGU
rnacentral:lncRNA from 1 species